GUGGGGAAUAUUGGACAAUGGGGGGAACCCUGAUCCAGCCAUGCCGCGUGUGUGAAGAAGGCCUUUUGGUUGUAAAGCACUUUAAGUGGGGAGGAGGCUUACCUGGUUAAUACCUGGGCUAAGUGGACGUUACCCACAGAAUAAGCACCGGCUAACUCUGUGCCAGCAGCCGCGGUAAUACAGAGGGUGCGAGCGUUAAUCGGAUCUACUGGGCGUAAAGCGCGCGUAGGUGGUUAAUUAAGUCAAAUGUGAAAUCCCCGAGCUUAACUUGGGAAUUGCAUUCGAUACUGGUUGGCUAGAGUAUGGGAGAGGAUGGUAGAAUUCCAGGUGUAGCGGUGAAAUGCGUAGAGAUCUGGAGGAAUACCGAUGGCGAAGGCAGCCAUCUGGCCUAAUACUGACACUGAGGUGCGAAAGCAUGGGGAGCAAACAGGAUUAGAUACCCCUGUAGUCC
rnacentral:rRNA from 1 species